UGGAAAGAGUUAAAAAAGUAACAAGGUUUCCGUAGGUGAACCUGCGGAAGGAUCAUUAGUGAAUAUAGGACGUCCAACUUAACUUGGAGUCCGAACUCUCACUUUCUAACCCUGUGCACUUGUUUGGGAUAGUAACUCUCGCAAGAGAGCGAACUCCUAUUCACUUAUAAACACAAAGUCUAUGAAUGUAUUAAAUUUUAUAACAAAAUAAAACUUUCAACAACGGAUCUCUUGGCUCUCGCAUCGAUGAAGAACGCAGCGAAAUGCGAUAAGUAAUGUGAAUUGCAGAAUUCAGUGAAUCAUCGAAUCUUUGAACGCACCUUGCGCUCCAUGGUAUUCCGUGGAGCAUGCCUGUUUGAGUGUCAUGAAUACUUCAACCCUCCUCUUUCUUAAUGAUUGAAGAGGUGUUUGGUUUCUGAGCGCUGCUGGCCUUUACGGUCUAGCUCGUUCGUAAUGCAUUAGCAUCCGCAAUCGAACUUCGGAUUGACUUGGCGUAAUAGACUAUUCGCUGAGGAAUUCUAGUCUUCGGAUUAGAGCCGGGUUGGGUUAAAGGAAGCUUCUAAUCAGAAUGUCUACAUUUUAAGAUUAGAUCUCAAAUCAGGUAGGACUACCCGCUGAACUUAAGCAUAUCAAAAACCGGGGAGAGA
rnacentral:rRNA from 1 species